UGUAUUGUGUUAAAUGUUUGUUUUAAGUGCAUGAUGAGUUUUUGAAUCCCUCCUUACUAUAGCUCCAAGCUGCCUGUUCGACAAAGGAUCAAUGUUUAUCAGAAAAGAAUGUUGAAACGGUGGCAUCGACAACUCUGCUUACUGUGGUGCUUCAUCCAGAAUUUGCGAUUCGCCAAAUGUUGGGAGGUAGCCUUGAAGGGAGAUCUAUAUUAAGCACUUUGGAUGAGAAGCAAUCAAUUACAUCCAAAGAGAGGAAGCUUCUUGUGAGACUUCUGGUAUCCCACCUUAUUGAAAAACAUGGCGAAAUGUAAGCAAGUUUUGCAAGGAGAAAAAAUAAAAUUUUAAUGCAGUUGAUUUAUAUAAUGGCAUCGUAACCUUUCUACCCAUUUUUAAAUGCUAUCCUCUACAGGCCACCCUCAGACACUAAGAUAGCACUUGCCAUGGCGUUGAUUUAUGAAUUUCCAUGUCUUAAGGAUGACACAGGCAGCAGCUAUGGAGCAUGGUACACACCUGGCCGAAAACACAGACCUGCUACAGGUUUUUUGGAGGAGCGCUUGAGAAAUGUCAGAAAGCGUAUGAGGAGCCUGAUUCGCCCGCGCCAACAGGAACCACAAGAGGACCAUGCUGUCCUUACACCAGAUUCACUUUCAUCUCCCCAAAAUAUUCGAGAGAUGGUUGCCUGGCUGAAAGCUAACAAAUAUCCAGUCUCUGAAGUGGAGGCCAAGAUGAAGGAAACCUCCAUACACAGAAGCAAAUGGAUUAGAUGUAACGGCUCCAAAACCAUCAGUGAAAUCCUGAGGGAGUUUCCCAGGCUGACAGACAAUCCUGGCAUGAUAUCGCAAGACUUUCAGCAACUUCAUCCUGAGGCAGCAGGACAAAUGUUUGAGAAGUGGCCUGCAAUUGCAGACAAAAUCUUAAAAUAUGCCCAACGAGAGGGAAAAAUAAAUGUUGUGCCAGAUGAUGUCACACCUGGUGAGAGAGCUUUAAAGGCCUUACCAAACCUGCUUCCCCCAUCACUCUUCAAAAGAGGUGGAAAAAUUGUGAGACCCACGACAGCGGAGUCUCAAAGGGCAUUUGUUAACAUGCAGCCUGUUGGAACCAAUAUAGUGGAGUACCUGACAAAUGUGGAUAACACCUUUCCACACGUUCUGUCGCUGGGACAUGAGAGAGUGUCUCAAACAUUUCUGGUUGUGGAAGGCCAUGCCAUUGAGACUGACUCGCUGCUUGAAGCUGUGGACCUGUGCUUUAAGUCUUUUUAUGUUUUUGACACGAAUUACCCAAAGGAGUGCCAACCCACAUGGGAGUUUUUGCAGCACUGCAUUUAUGAAAUAAAUG
ensembl:lncRNA